UAACAGCCAAUCGCGUGAGCGAUUGAAGUGGAAAGCCCGCAGGUACGAGGACUUGGAGCGGAAAGCGCGGUGCCGG
rnacentral:misc_RNA from 1 species